UUAAUUGAAGAGUUUGAUCAUGGCUCAGAUUGAACGCUGGCGGCAGGCCUAACACAUGCAAGUCGAGCGGUAACAGAUUGAUAGCUUGCUAUCAAUGCUGACGAGCGGCGGACGGGUGAGUAAUGCCUGGGAAUAUGCCCUGAUGUGGGGGAUAACUAUUGGAAACGAUAGCUAAUACCGCAUAAUCUCUUCGGAGCAAAGAGGGGGACCUUCGGGCCUCUCGCGUCAGGAUUAGCCCAGGUGG
rnacentral:rRNA from 1 species